rnacentral:misc_RNA from 1 species
UUAAGUUCAGCGGGUAUUCCUACCUGAUCCGAGGUCAACCUUAGAAAAAUAAAGGGUAGACCGGGUCUGGGGACCUUGCAACUCUGAUGCGUGCUGGUUAAAGCUCAUUGCACCGAGGGUCCCACGGACGCCGUCACUGUCUUUGGGACCGGGGAGGGCCAAACGGCCCGCCCCUAAAGUCCAACAACAAGCCAGGGCUU